GAUGAACGCUGGCGGCGUGCCUAAUACAUGCAAGUCGAGCGAACGGACGAGAAGCUUGCUUCUCUGAUGUUAGCGGCGGACGGGUGAGUAACACGUGGAUAACCUACCUAUAAGACUGGGAUAACUUCGGGAAACCGGAGCUAAUACCGGAUGAUAUUUUGAACCGCAUGGUUCAAAAGUGAAAGACGGUCUUGCUGUCACUUAUAGAUGGAUCCGCGCUGCAUUAGCUAGUUGGUAAGGUAACGGCUUACCAAGGCAACGAUUCAUAGCCGACCUGAGAGGGUGAUCGGCCACACUGGAACUGAGACACGGUCCAGACUCCUACGGGAGGCAGCAGUAGGGAAUCUUCCGCAAUGGGCGAAAGCCUGACGGAGCAACGCCGCGUGAGUGAUGAAGGUCUUCGGAUCGUAAAACUCUGUUAUUAGGGAAGAACAUAUGUGUAAGUAACUGUGCACAUCUUGACGGUACCUAAUCAGAAAGCCACGGCUAACUACGUG
rnacentral:rRNA from 1 species